CCGAAUGAUCAUUCAGACUCUGUUUCUAUUGAGAGAUAAAAGGCUGGUUGAAUGAGUUGCCUAUGAAAGCUACUUCAUCUGCAAGAAAACAGGCGGCUGCACCAGUGACUGGGUCAGUGCUCUAAAAUGAGUCUCUCUGGGGAGAGAGAGGAGGG